rnacentral:rRNA from 1 species
GAUGAACGCUGGCGGCGUGCCUAAUACAUGCAAGUCGAGCGAACGGACGAGAAGCUUGCUUCUCUGAUGUUAGCGGCGGACGGGUGAGUAACACGUGGAUAACCUACCUAUAAUACUGGGAUAACUUCGGGAAACCGGAGCUAAUACCGUAUGAUAUUUUGAACCGCAUGGUUCAAUAGUGAAAGACGGUCUUGCUGUCACUUAUAGAUGGAUCCGCGCUGCAUUAGCUAGUUGGUAAGGUAACGGCUUACCAAGGCAACGAUGCAUAGCCGACCUGAGAGGGUGAUCGGCCACACUGGAACGGAGACACGGUCCAGACUCCUACGGGAGGCAGCAGUAGGGAAUCUUCCGCAAUGGGCGAAAGCCUGACGGAGCAGCGCGGCGUGAGUGAUGACGGUCUUCGGAUCGUAAAACUCUGUUAUUAGGGAAGAACAUAUGUGUAAGUAACUGUGCACAUCUUGACGGUACCUAAUCAGAAAGCCACGGCUAACUACGUG